GAUGAACGCUGACAGAAUGCUUAACACAUGCAAGUCUACUUGAAUUUGGGUUUUUUAACUUAGAUUUGGGUGGCGGACGGGUGAGUAACGCGUAAAGAACUUGCCUCACAGCUAGGGACAACAUUUGGAAACGAAUGCUAAUACCUGAUAUUAUGAUUAUAAGGCAUCUUAGAAUUAUGAAAGCUAUAUGCGCUGUGAGAGAGCUUUGCGUCCCAUUAGCUAGUUGGAGAGGUAACGGCUCACCAAGGCGAUGAUGGGUAGCCGGCCUGAGAGGGUGAACGGCCACAAGGGGACUGAGACACGGCCCUUACUCCUACGGGAGGCAGCAGUGGGGAAUAUUGGACAAGGGACCAAGAGUCUGAUCCAGCAAUUCUGUGUGCACGAUGACGUUUUUCGGAAUGUAAAGUGCUUUCAGUUGGGAAGAAAAAAAUGACGGCACCAACAGAAGAAGUGACGGCUAAAUACGUG
rnacentral:rRNA from 1 species